rnacentral:tRNA from 1 species
AUAGCUCAGUUGGUAGAGCAUCGGUCUCCAAAACCGAGUGCCGGGCAACGCUUGUGAACGCUGCCUGCGGCAGAUACAGUGAACAAGGGUUGGCGCAGCGGUCGAAAUUCAUAGGUGCUCCA